AGACAGACUGCUCUACGAAAGCAUGCUACCUCUUUCUAAUAUUGAACAUGUGCAGACAAAGGAAACGUUGCGAAAGCGCGGUCUAUAUAUUAUAUGUCUAUGACUGAAACACAAUUGCUCCUAUGUUAACCAAUCAUCUGCUGUUGUGCUUGUGCGCAUGUGCUGAACGAAAAUCUGCCUACAAUAAUAUUGAAACCGAAUUAAAAUGUUUUAUUAUUUAAUUUCGGUUUUUGUCAGACGAGAUUUAAGACAAAGAUAAUUUUAUGCUAUUUCUGGUUCAUGUGCAAAUAUUUGGAUUAUAUGCCAUUUGGAAAAGAAGAAAACGUAAGCGUUGGAUCAAUAGGAGAUGGUGGGUGCGACCCAUAAACACAAGACGAAAAGAAUAUGGUGAUUUUACAACCCUUUUUGCGUAAUUGAAGGAAGAUUGUGAUCUUUUCUUUCGAUAUACACGAAUGGAUGUCGAAACAUUUUAUGAAUUACUGGAAAUGGUGCGACCUUAUCUACAGAAAAACAGUUUACAAGAACCAAUUUGUCCGGAACAACGGCUUGUGAUUACAUUUAGAUAGAUUGUUAUUGCACAAGGUAAUUGGAGUCCAAUCAGAUGGCGAUUCUUUAUGACAAUCCAUGAACUAGAAAUCAAUAAAUGUAAAUGAGGUUA